rfam:Strongylocentrotus purpuratus Contig145231_fixed, whole genome shotgun sequence.
CAAACGGCUCUUUUUAGAGCCACCACAUAACUAAGAAAGAAUCAGU